rnacentral:rRNA from 1 species
GACGUAGGGGGCAAGCGUUGUUCGGAAUUAUUGGGCGUAAAGCGCUCGUAGGCGGGACUGGAAGUCCGUGUUGAAAGACCUCGGCUCAACUGAGGGACCGGCUCGGAUACUCUAGUUCUUGAGGCAAUCAGAGGGUGAUGGAAUUCCCCGGUGUAGCGGUGAAAUGCGUAGAUAUCGGGAGGAACACCAGUGGCGAAGGCGAUCACCUGGGGUUGUUCUGACGCUGAGGAGCGAAAGCUAGGGGAGCAAACGGG